GAUGAACGCUAGCUACAGGCUUAACACAUGCAAGUCGAGGGGAAACGCUGAGGGAGCUUGCUCUCUUAGUCGUCGACCGGCGCACGGGUGAGUAACGCGUAUCCAACCUGCCUCUGACCAAGGGAUAACCCGUCGAAAGUCGGACUAAUACCUUAUGCAGUCGUCGGAAGUCAUCUGAUGACGACGAAAGAUUUCAUCGGUGAGAGAUGGGGAUGCGUCUGAUUAGCUUGUUGGCGGGGUAACGGCCCACCAAGGCGACGAUCAGUAGGGGUUCUGAGAGGAAGGUCCCCCACAUUGGAACUGAGACACGGUCCAAACUCCUACGGGAGGCAGCAGUGAGGAAUAUUGGUCAAUGGGCGUAAGCCUGAACCAGCCAAGUAGCGUGCAGGAUGACGGCCCUAUGGGUUGUAAACUGCUUUUAUGCGGGGAUAAAGUGAGGGACGUGUCCUUCAUUGCAGGUACCGCAUGAAUAAGGACCGGCUAAUUCCGUG
rnacentral:rRNA from 1 species